GGACACCCCUGCUGUCAAGGAUUGCCCGAAGUCAGAAGGAUGUGAAGAGUAAGACCUUAUGGGAGCCAAAGUCGCACUGCUGCGGGAGGAACUGGUAGACCUAAGGAGGAAGAUGAAAGAGCAGGACCAGCAGGCGCUGACCCUGCGCCAACAUCACAUAGAAAAUGUCUACCACCUGCAGCAGUGCCUGGAACAAUUUGAAGAACACCUGGCCAGCU